rnacentral:rRNA from 1 species
AGUGGCGGACGGGUGAGUAACGCGUGGAGAACCUAGCCCUGUACAGGGGGAUAACAGUUAGAAAUGACUGCUAAUACCGCAUAAGCGCACACUACCGCAUGGUAGAGUGUGAAAAACUCCGGUGGUACAGGAUGGCUCCGCGUUGGAUUAGCCAGUUGGCGGGGUAACGGCCCACCAAAGCGACGAUCCAUAGCCGGCCUGAGAGGGUGAACGGCCACAUUGGGACUGAGACACGGCCCAGACUCCUACGGGAGGCAGCAGUGGGGAAUAUUGCACAAUGGGGGGAACCCUGAUGCAAGCGACGCCGCGUGAAGGAAGAAGUAUCUCGGUAUGUAAACUUCUAUCAGCAGGGGAAGAAAAUGACGGUACCUGACUAAGAAGCCCCGGCUAACCUACGUGCCAGCAGCAGC